CAUCGCGUCGUUGUUUGUUGCAGUAAAUAUAUUCUAUAGAUCCAUAGCUCAUUCUCUGUGUGGGCUAGCUUCAUCUCUGUGCUGCUAGAGAGAAGGAAAGGGUGAGAUAUGUAUUGUCAAACAAUAGCAAAUAUUUCCAGUGAUGUACGACUGAUUUCAAACAGUGAAUUUCGUGUCAAGAAUCAAGGGAAUUUGAUAUUGCUUUUGCGUGAAUGAUCCAGCAAAGAGCAAUGGAAUAGCUAUGCUUUAGCGAUAUCAACUGUUAUAUCGUAAUAAUAAUGGAAAUUUCUGAGCUAGUGUCAACAACAACAACAUCACGUAUUUAAUAAGAUCUUUAAUGAAAAACGUGACGAGUUAAAAGAGCGAUUGUAAAUAAUGUGCCUUAUAUUUCCCUCGGGUAACUGUGUAUAUAUAAAGAGAUAGUUUGGACCAUACGAUAUUAGCAUUGACUACUGAAGGAAAAUAAGUCCUUUCAUUUCACUUCGUCAUCGUCGUCUCGCAGUAAAUUUGAAGACAUGAAAGCAGUCAUCUUAAUUUUAUGUGUGAUAGCCAUCUCUCAAACAAAGGCCUAUUACUAUAGACAUGGUGGCUAUCGCCGUAUGUACAGGCCCCCGCAACCCCCUAUUCCACCAAUUAAACCACCACUUCCACCACCAGUUAUUCCAACCCCACUCUGCCCAGGAAAUGUUGCCGGUAAAUUGCUUUUCUGCUCUCCGAACUGUGCCAAACCAAACUUUGUUCCUGUAAGUGGAGUUCCUGGAUGCUACCCUGGAUUAACUUGUUGCACUCAAGCAUAAAAAUUAUGCAGAAAACAAUUGAAAUAUUUGAAAGUGGUUGAUAAUAUUCAGAACCAAUGAUGGACGGAUAGAAAGGAAUAAUGCACAAUAAAAGCA